CGGUGAAUGAGCAUAUGAAACUGGUGGGGUUCGGUACCUCCAACAAGGUUAAGAACCACUGCUCUAGGGAAAAAAGGAUGAGGUAUGUUCUUAACGAAGUCCAGAUAGAAUAUUAAGGACUUACAAAGCAUCGUUUCAAUUUCAUAAAUAGAUGGGGCAGCUACCAACCUGGUGGUUCCAUCUCCAGCUCCACCUGUCCAGAUGAUGAAAUGUCCUUGGGUACAAGUACACAGGAUCAUCUUAACACUGAAAAGAUGCCAUCAAGUUGAAUUCUUGGAGCAGCCAGUUGAAUGCAGAAAGGGAAUUGUCUUUACUUUAAUGGAAGUAUCAGUCAACCAGCUGGUUCUAUGGCUGUAACUCACCAAAUGCAAUUCACCAAACACACCCAACACAUUUCAUACAACAGAAACAAAGUGUCUCAUCAGAUUUGUUCCAAAAACAUUUAAUAUGCUUUAGGAAAGAAGGAUUACAGUACACACUGAUCCAUUCGGGUUACAGGUCACCAAUUAAGAAUAAAUAACUGGCCAUGUUAAUACAAACUCUGCUUGCUUUCUUUGUACAGUCACUAAAAGAGUGGAUCAAGUCACUAAUAUUCAUAGUGUGUGUUGCUCUUAGAUCACAAAUGUCUUGUAGAUCUUCUCUUAAAAAACUUUUCAGAUAAAUUCAUCUUAAUUUCUUUAUUAAACAUUAACAACAAUUUAUAGUUAGCAAGUGGAGAGGAAAGCAGCUAAUCUCUUGUCCAGGAUCUUGUUCCCUUUUUGUGAAGAUGAAAAGUUGCCUAUUCACUGCUGAUCUGUGUUCAGUUUGCCUCAAAAUUCAGAAUCUUUUCUCACGUAAAUAUUAUAAAACGUGACUGGAUCUGGACUUCACUGGCAGUUUAAGUUAUUGAUAACCUUUUACGGAGUUAAUCAUCACGGCGUCAUUACACCACUGUUCAGCACCGGAAGUGAGUGUGGUAUUGCUGCCUGAGCUGAAACAGCCUCACAUCCAGACUCCAGUUUUAACUCAGUCCCUAAACUGCAUGUUGGAAAGUCUGAAAUCGGGUUUCAAACCACCUCAAUGAAACUCUGAACUGACUUAUGAUCAGCGUUUUUUGGGCAACCAUAAUCUCUUCAUCCAGAGCACAGACAAGAGCGUGUUCCGAAGCUUAUGAUACAAAUUCCCCUUUAAGGUGUGCUGUGUGAAAAUAGUCAAGUAAUCAAGAAAGACCUGGUAGUGUGCUUUUAGUGG